rnacentral:lncRNA from 1 species
CUGGAUGUCAUCAAAAAUAUUUUAUUGCCAGGCACAGUGAUGCACACCUAUAAUCCCAGUGGCUGAGGAGGCUGAGACGGAGAAUUCAAGAUCAGCAAUUUAGCAAAACCCUGUCUCAAAAUAAAACAAAAAGGGCUGGAGAUAUGGCUCAGUGGUUAAGUGCUCCUGGGUUCAAUGCCAAUAAUAGAUAGAUAGAUAGAUAGAUAGAUAGAUAGAUAGAUAGAUAGAUGAUAGAUAGAUAGAUAUUGUAUAUCAAAGGAUAUUUUUAAGAAAAUUCAAAGACAACCCAAAGAAUGGGAAAAAGCAUUUGUAAGUCAUAUAUCUAGUAAGGGUUUUAUAUCUAGAAUGUGUAACAUAAUUUUUAAAAAUUUAAAUGGAGAAAAUACUGAAUUAUGCCUUUCUCCAAAGAAUAUAUGAAAAUAGAGAGUAAACAAAUAAAAAUGUUGAACAUCACCCAUUGGUCAUCAGGAAAAUCAAAACCACAAUAAACCAAGUAUGGUGGCACACACCUAUAAUCCCAGCUGGUUGGGGAGGCUGAGGCAAAUACAAGGGCAACCUGAGUAACUUAGCAAGACCCUGUCUCAAAGUAAAAAAUAAAAAAGGCUCAGGUUGUAGCUCAAUGGUAGAAAUUUAUGCUGAGUGAAAUAAGUCAUGCACAAAAGAACAAAUAUUGUAUGAUUUCACUUUUAUGAAAUAUCUAUAACAAGAAUACUCAAAGAGACAGAAAGUAAAUUAGAGGCUCUAGCAUCUAG